GACGAACGCUGGCGGCGUGCUUAACACAUGCAAGUCGAACGGAAAGGCCCUGCUUUUGUGGUGUGCUCGAGUGGCGAACGGGUGAGUAACACGUGAGUAACCUGCCCUUCACUUUGGUAUAACUUCAGGAAACUGGGGCUAAUACCGGAUAGGAGCUCAUGCUGCAGGGUGGGGGUGGGAAAGUUUCGGCGGUUGGGGAUGGACUCGCGGCUUAUCAGCUUGUUGGUGGGGUAGUGGCUUACCAAGGCUUUGACGGGUAGCCGGCCUGAGAGGGUGACCGGCCACAUUGGGACUGAGAUACGGCCCAGACUCCUACGGGAGGCAGCAGUGGGGAAUAUUGCACAAUGGGCGGAAGCCUGAUGCAGCAACGCCGCGUGCGGGAUGACGGCCUUCGGGUUGUAAACCGCUUUCGCCUGUGACGAAGCGUGAGUGACGGUAAUGGGUAAAGAAGCACCGGCUAACUACGUG
rnacentral:rRNA from 1 species